rnacentral:rRNA from 1 species
GACGGGGGGUCCUAGCGUUGUUCGGAAUUACUGGGCGUAAAGGGCUCGUAGGUGGCCAACUAAGUCAGACGUGAAAUCCCUCGGCUUAACCGGGGAACUGCGUCUGAUACUGGAUGGCUUGAGUGUGGGAGAGGGAUGCGGAAUUCCAGGUGUAGCGGUGAAAUGCGUAGAUAUCUGGAGGAACACCUGUGGCGAAGGCGGCCAUCUGGACCAGCACUGACGCUGAGGCACGAAAGCGUGGGGAGCAAACAGG